rnacentral:rRNA from 1 species
AUUGAACGCUGGCGGCAGGCCUAACACAUGCAAGUCGAGCGGAUGAAGGGAGCUUGCUCCUGGAUUAAGCGGCGGACGGGUGAGUAAUGCCUAGGAAUCUGCCUGGUAGUGGGGGAUAACGUAAGGAAACGGGCGCUAAUACCGCAUACGUCCUGAGGGAGAAAGUGGGGGAUCUUCGGACAUCACGCUAUCAGAUGAGCCUAGGUCGGAUUAGCUAGUUGGUGGGGUAAAGGCCUACCAAGGCGACGAUCCGUAACUGGUCUGAGAGGAUGAUCAGUCACACUGGAACUGAGACACGGUCCAGACUCCUACGGGAGGCAGCAGUAGGGAAUAUUGCACAAUGGGCGAAAGCCUGAUCCAGCCAUGCCGCGUGUGUGAAGAAGGUCUUCGGAUCGUAAAACUCUUUUAGUUGGGAAGAAGGGCAGUGAGAGAAACCCUUGCUGUUUUGACGUUACCAACAGAGAAAGCACCGGCUAACUACGUG